rnacentral:rRNA from 1 species
CAGAAACUUAAAGGAAUUGACGGGGCCCGCACAAGCGGUGGAGUAUGUGGUUUAAUUCGAUGCAACGCGAAGAACCUUACCUGGUCUCGACAUCCCGGAGACCCUUAGGAACUAGGGGUGCUUCCAUCUGGAAGAAUCUGGAGACAGGUGCUGCAUGGCUGUCGUCAGCUCGUGUCGUGAGAUGUUGGGUUAAGUCCCGCAACGAGCGCAACCCUUGCCUUUAGUUGCCAGCAGUUCGGCUGGGCACUCUAAAGGGACUGCCGGUGUUAAACCGGAGGAAGUGGGGAUGACGUCAAGUCCUCAUGGCCUUUAUGACCAGGGCUACACACGUACUACAAUGGCCGAUACAAAGGGCAGCGACACUGCGAGGUGAAGCCAAUCCCGUAAAAUCGGUCUCAGUCCGGAUUGGAGUCUGCAACUCGACUCCAUGAAGUUGGAAUCGCUAGUAAUCGUGGAUCAGCAUGCCACGGUGAAUACGUUCCCGGGCCUU